UACGAAGGGGGCUAGCGUUGCUCGGAAUCACUGGGCGUAAAGGGUGCGUAGGCGGGUUUUAAGUCAGGGGUGAAAUCCUGGAGCUCAACUCCAGAACUGCCUUUGAUACUGGCAACCUUGAGUCCGGGAGAGGUGAGUGGAACUGCGAGUGUAGAGGUGAAAUUCGUAGAUAUUCGCAAGAACACCAGUGGCGAAGGCGGCUCACUGGCCCGGUACUGACGCUGAGGUGCGAAAGCG
rnacentral:rRNA from 1 species